AAAGGAAUUGACGGGGGCCCGCACAAGCGGAGGAACAUGUGGUUUAAUUCGAUGAUACGCGAGGAACCUUACCCGGGCUUGAAUUGCAGGUGCAUGGGGUGGAGACAUCCCUUUCCUUCGGGACUCCUGUGAAGGUGCUGCAUGGUUGUCGUCAGCUCGUGCCGUGAGGUGUCGGCUUAAGUGCCAUAACGAGCGCAACCCCUCUCCGUAGUUGCCAUCGGGUUAAGCCGGGCACUCUGCGGACACUGCCUCCGCAAGGAGUGAGGAAGGUGGGGAUGACGUCAAAUCAGCACGGCCCUUACGUCCGGGGCUACACACGUGUUACAAUGGGGCAUACAGAGAGCAGGGUGUACGCAAGUGCGCCCGAAUCAAGAAAGUGCCUCUCAGUUCGGACUGGGGUCUGCAACCCGACCCCACGAAGCUGGAUUCGCUAGUAAUCGCGCAUCAGCCAUGGCGCGGUGAAUACGUUCCCGGGCCUUGCACACACCGCCCGU
rnacentral:rRNA from 1 species